UUAACACAUGCAAGUCGAACGGGAUUUAUAGUUUUUGAGACUUCGGUCAAGAAAACUAUAAAAAUAGUGGCAAACGGGUGAGUAACACGUGGUAACCUACCUUCGAGUGGGGGAUAACUUCGCGAAAGCGGAGCUAAUACCGCAUAAGACCACGAUCUUAAUUAGAUCGAGGUCAAAGGAUUUAUUCGCUUGAAGAUGGGCCUGCGGCCUAUCAGCUAGUUGGUGAGGUAACGGCUCACCAAGGCGACGACGGGUAGCCGACCUGCAAGGGUGAUCGGCCACAUUGGAACUGGGACACGGUCCAGACUCCUACGGGAGGCAGCAGUGGGGAAUCUUGCGCAAUGGGGGAAACCCUGACGCAGCAACGCCAUGUGAAGGAAGAAGGUCCUUGGAUUGUAAACUUCUGUCAAGAGGGAAGAAGCUCUGACGGUACCUCUGAAGGAAGCACCGGCUAACUCCGUGCCAGCAGCCGCCGUAA
rnacentral:rRNA from 1 species